rnacentral:lncRNA from 1 species
AUUGAUUCAGUGCCACACUACAGGAAAGGGGAUAUCAGUAGUCAUUAGAAUACAGACUGAUAGAAAUUAUGCACCUGAUAUUACUUACUACUUCUCUCAUCUAGCUGCAGCUGGUUUAGCAAAGAGAACCCAAUACCCAAAAUCAUGAAAUGGAUGUUCUCUUGGUUAGUAUACAAGACUGCUAAUUAUCUCUGUUGCCUCACCACAGAGCAACCAAGCAAAGGGCCAUGGAGCACCUCACAACAAAAGGAACCUGAAACCUAAAAAUAGAGGAAUGAUUUUUCUUGUAACAUGAACCAUCAAAUUAACUACACUCGCUGCACAGCAUGCGAUCGCCACCAUAGAAACGCUACCCUACUACUUAACUCUCUCCACAAACUACAAAAAAGCAAGAAAAUCAACCCAAACAACAUUGUAGGAAUGAUAUAGACAAGACAAAAGAAUCUCAACUUGUUCGCUCUUUUUUAGUUGAGUAACUCCUUCCAGAGUAAAUGGUCAAGCUGGCCGCAAGAAAGAAACACACAAAAAACCCGAGAAUAGUGCACCAACAAGAAGGAAAAUAAUCUACAUAUGGACAAACUGACAUAGUUUGUGCUUCAGGAACCGAAAGAUUUGGGGAGAGAGAGAAGCAUACCUAAUAGAACUUCACAGGCAUGUCAACCCCUUGUUUAUUCUCCAAUUUCAGCCCUAGCAUUGAAGGAAGCCCAACCCUCUCAUGAACAGACUUUAGAGUGAAGCUCAUUGAUGAUGGCACUGUUAGCAGUCAGAAACUGUAUAAGCGAGGUUAUUCCGCCUUCUUGGCCCUCUUAAAUAGCUUGUACAUACCUGUUUUAGAGUCAAGAGAAAAAAAUGAUAUCAACUAAGCAUAUCUAAAAUCCAUCAUAAUACAUACAAAGAAUGUGUUAUGUCUGAAAUAAAAUGGAACAUGCAAAUUAGAUAGUUAUUUAUAAGUUAAAUACCAUUUUAGGUGUGUUUUCACCAAAGAGAUACAGUGAACAGUCGAGCACGUAAUUAUAAAUUGAUAAUUAUCAGUAAGAUCUUCACACUUCUCGGGGAACAAAUAAAACAGGAAACCAGGUGGUUUACCUUGAUACAAAAGUGACCUUAUUCAAAUUCAUUUUCAGAUGACAAACACUAUAGUGGAAGCACCAACCCCAGCGAAAUACCAUCAAGAAAUGGUGCUACUUAAUCAUAGUAGAAAGGAUAAAAAUGCAUAUAACAAAACAAGGAAUAAUACCUGUCAGGCCUGCUCUUGCAUACCAAAAUAACAUGGCCUCUUGCAAAAUAUAGAGAUCUAGGAACGGCCCAUAACACCAAAAGAUGUAGCAGAGGAAGGUACCAAACUUAUCACAAGCAUCUCCAUUAUGACUGGAAUAUACCCUGGAAAUUAAUACAAGCUAGGUAUAUCACAUAUGCACCAUAAUAAUUUCAAAAGAAGUGCAAAAAUAUGUA